AGGUAACAAAGGUAUAAAAAAAUCUUAGGUCAAAGAUAUAUGUCAAGGGGUUGUAACGAUACAACGUGUUUGGCAAUGCAUAACGUGAUUUUUAGUCCUGUUCUGAAGAAAAUAUAAAAAAAUUUGACUUUA